UUAGAAAAGUAGUUGACAAAGUUGAAAAGACUGUAUAAUAGUAAGAGUUGAAAAUAACAACUCAGGUCCGUUGGUCAAGGGGUUAAGACACCGCCUUUUCACGGCGGUAACACGGGUUCGAAUCCCGUACGGACUAUGGUAUGUUGCGGUUGGAACACUUGAUGAAAAAAGUUUAAAAAACUUAAAAAUCUUCAAAAAAGUGUUGACAAGCGAAAGCAGUUGUGAUAUACUAAUAUAGUUGUCGCUUGAGAGAAGCAAGUGACAAAGACCUUUGAAAACUGAACAAGACGAACCAAUGUGCAGGGCGCUACAACAUAAGUUGUAGUACUGAACAAUGAAAAAACAAUAAAUCUGUCAGUGACAGAAAUGAGUGAGAACUCAAACUUUUAAUGAGAGUUUGAUCCUGGCUCAGGACGAACGCUGGCGGCGUGCCUAAUACAUGCAAGUAGAACGCUGAAGGAGGAGCUUGCUUCUCUGGAUGAGUUGCGAACGGGUGAGUAACGCGUAGGUAACCUGCCUGGUAGCGGGGGAUAACUAUUGGAAACGAUAGCUAAUACCGCAUAAGAGUAGAUGUUGCAUGACAUUUGCUUAAAAGGUGCACUUGCAUCACUACCAGAUGGACCUGCGUUGUAUUAGCUAGUUGGUGGGGUAACGG
rnacentral:rRNA from 1 species